CCAAUAUUAAAAGUCGCUAAACUCCGCUUGCUGAAAUGUCAGCCAGCGUCGUAUAUAAACCCCGACAGACGUACGGGUGAAAAGACAGCCAAGCAGGAGAUAUCAUGAGGAUCACUCUCGUUUCAUUCAUGGUUUUCAUUGUCGUGGCUUCUUGUGGCGACUUCGCAUUUGGGUGCAACACCUGUAACCGCGAUGGAUGCGACAGAUAUGAUCAUAUGCAAGGUCAUUCGUCGUGCAUUCAAGAGUGGUGCCAGCUGAUCCACCAGGACGGCAAAAGAUGCUGCGUCAAGAAGUAGCAGUAAUGUGGACACGGUCGUGGACAAGAGUUCUUCAACGAAAGAGCCAACAGUGUUUCACGGAAAGCUUUUUCUAUACCACCUCACAGAAUAUAGCUGAAUGUCGAAAACCAAGAAAUAAUAAACAUAGACUGAUAUA